GUGUGUAUGUGUGUGUGUUUGGUUGAGGUGGGUGGUGAAUUACUUAAGACUCUUUAAUGGCAAGCAACAGAAACCAAAGUGUGACUGCUGGUCCACCCUGGGGCCGAGAUGGGCAAACAUUCCAGAGUGUCGCAAGUGGCUGUAAGGGCCAUGUGAGGGGCUGGGCUGCUGUGUGGCUUGUCUGCAGGGCAGUGGAAAGGCCAGGAGACCCAAAUUCCAGACCUGACUCUACACAGCUUGAGGUCAUGGGCACAUGUCCCUCCUCUCUGAGCCUCUGUUUCCUUAUCUGUUACAUGAAGGGCUGGGUUAACUGAUUCCUCCCAGCUCGAGAAGUGUGUUUCUUUUGCCUGUGGAUGGGAUGAAGAGGGCCUGGUUUGGGGUGAGGGCCGGGGAAGUGAAGUGGGUAUGAGGAAAGCAUCAUAGGAACAACUGGAAGAUGCUGAUGAAGAGCUGGUUGUGGAGCAUAAAGAGGAUUCCAGGGACACAGAAGCUGGAGGAUGGUGGCUUUCCUCGUGGCGACAAUGACAGCAGGAAAGAAGGCCCAUCUGCAGAGAGCAAGAGCUCAGCUUUAGGUGGUAGGGUAUCCAAUAUGAGAGACCUGAAGACCCCCGCAGAGGGUUGCUUGUUGAAAGUCACAUGGCAGAGUUAGAAAUGAGAUCUGAGAGGCAUUUUCCAAGGAGAGAUGUUUGGAGCCAGAGGAGACAUUGAUGUUGAGGGGAAAAAAGAGGAAGGAAGGCAAAGAUGCCUGGGAGAUACAGAGAGAAGAGCCACAGGAGAAGGUGUAGCUGGGAGGAGGGGUUUCAGCUGGGCAGGCACUUGGGUGAUGCCCAAAUGUAUGCGAAACUGUAGCGGCCAGGAGGAGAGUACCGGCCCCUUCUCAGGAAGCAGUGGGUGGUGGUGAGGAGCUUAGAAACGAGAGGCAGCUGAGGCAGAAAAUGAAGCCCAUUUUUGAGUAAAUGAAUUGGAUAAUGAAGGUAAGAAGGAAAAAACAGGGUAGUGGCUUCAAAGACCAGUGGACUCAGUGGAUUCAGAGAAGCCUCUCUCUCCGCCUCCUUCCUUUCCUUUUUCAUGUAAGGACACGGUGAGAAGACGCCAUCUAUGAACCAGGAGGAGGGCUUUCACCCUCUCACCAGACGCUGGAUCUAGGGUGCUUUGAUCUUGGACUCCCAGCUUCCAGGAUUGUGAGAACUGUCGGAAAGAAAGUUCUCUCGUUUGAGCCACCCCGUCUGUGGUAUUUUUGUCAUGGCAGCCCAAAGGGACUGGGCCACCCUCCUGCCACCUCCCUUUUCAGUUGUGACCCUGAGGAGCUCCUGGGAGCACAGAGCCAGCCGGUACCCUCCGGCACGCACCCUUGGUGGCCUUGGUAGUUCAGUGUGGAAAUUUGGUGUGAGAUGGGCUGUCCAGGUGAGAGAUUUUUUUUUUCCCCUAUAGCUCCUGGCCUCAGAUCAUUAAGACCGGGAGGUUGAACAGUGUCUGGGGGCCUCAAAGGAUGUCCCUGCUGUCAGUGGCUUAUUCUCGUUUCCCAGGCGUUGAAGUCAAAGCAUCUCAGUGAAGGUUGAUGGACAGGGACAGUGUCACCUGUGGGUAUUUGGGGAACGGUGACUCAUAGGAGCAGAGGACAGGAAGGGCCUGGACCCUGCCGCCAAGCUCUGCGCCAGGCAAGCACAUGGUCUUCGUGGUUCCUCCUCCGACUGCCACCCUUCUCAGAAGCAAAGUGCCAGGCUUGAUUCCUGCAUCCGCUGCACCUCGGGGUGUGCAUGCCAAGAGAUCAUGGUGCUCCGGUGUUGGGGGUUCAGAGUCUUUGAAGGCACACCCUUAGGAUGACUAGAUAGCACUAGUUACCCCGGGGCCUGUCACCUCCUGACUCUCACAGCUUCCCAUGUGGCCGGGUUCCCCAGAGGGUUCUGGGUCGGCCUGUCAUGUCCUCCCUGUCAUGACUCCUGGAGAGCGUGUCAGAGCAUUUUGUUUCUCUCCCAUCUUGCUUAACCUCGUCUCACUGAUCUUUCUCAAGCAGUGGUUUUAAAAAUAAAGGACCGCCUCCUCUUGCUUGAAAUUCCCUUCUCCUGAAACAUCUCUGCCAUCAAUAGGGCCGGCCUCCGGGACGCCCUAGCGCUGCUACAGGCUGCUGGCAAUAACGUUGCUCUCUGCGCUGGGAAGAGGUCUGCCGCUGCUCCUGCCCCUUCACAUUCCUGUCCUGGUGUUGGGGGGUGCCUAGGCCGGGUUUGGAGGGGCCUGUAGGAGUUAAGCUGCCCCAUUUGGACUUGCUUCCUGGGUCAGUCUACCCUUUAUGUAUCCUGGAGGAGGGGCGUCUGAUGGAGGCGGGGAUGGAUCCAGAACCGAGGCUGGAGGAAGCGUCAGCUUGCAGGCAGCAGCAUCCAGCAGAAUAUCUGCUUCAGCAAGAGCGAAGAACAGGAUACAUGUGACCUAGAAAUACAGUGUGCAGGAUGCUGUGAAUGUGGCCAGAACAUCAUUCAUUCAUUCAACAACGCAUUCCUUCAUCCAUUCAAUAAGAAUUUACAGAGCUCUUCCACAACUCCAGGGACUAGGAAGAAUGAGGAAUAAGCAGCACACAACCGCUGGCCCAGGAAGCUUUCUCUUUUAGCAACAUGUCCUGGAGUUUGUUCCCACAGCUCUGCCCCGUGCCAUUCUGUUCUGUGCCAGGACAUUGCCGAGUUAACCUACUCUGCAUUGCUCCACUUUAUGUUGAUUCCAAUAUUUUGCUAUUCCCAAAAAUGGAUGCAAUAAAUACCAUUU
ensembl:lncRNA